rnacentral:rRNA from 1 species
CUACGGGAGGCUGCAGUGGGGAAUAUUGCACAAUGGGCGCAAGCCUGAUGCAGCCAUGCCGCGUGUGUGAAGAAGGCCUUCGGGUUGUAAAGCACUUUCAGCGGGGAGGAAGGCGGUGAGGUUAAUAACCUCAUCGAUUGACGUUACCCGCAGAUGAAGCACCGGCUAACUCCGUGCCAGCAGCCGCGGUAAUACGGAGGGUGCAAGCGUUAAUCGGAAUUACUGGGCGUAAAGCGCACGCAGGCGGUCUGUCAAGUCGGAUGUGAAAUCCCCGGGCUCAACCUGGGAACUGCAUUCGAAACUGGCAGGCUAGAGUCUUGUAGAGGGGGGUAGAAUUCCAGGUGUAGCGGUGAAAUGCGUAGAGAUCUGGAGGAAUACCGGUGGCGAAGGCGGCCCCCUGGACAAAGACUGACGCUCAGGUGCGAAAGCGUGGGGAGCAAACAGGAUUAGAUACCCGGGUAGUC